rnacentral:tRNA from 1 species
GGAUGUGGCUCAGUGUUAGAGUACUUGCCUGGCAUGCGUGAGGCCUUGGGUUCAAUCUCCAGCACCA